CAUGCCCACAUAGACCCACGCAGCAUUGUCAGACUUCCCAGGGCUGUAAUAUUCACGUAUCAAUUCACAACCGCACUUACUAUAGAAGCCUAAGUUCAAACAGAAAUUUGCACCCACCCAUGCAUCGCCACAAAAGCCCAUACCAACUCCCGAGCAGACGUGCCCACGCUCACAGAAGCCCACAUAGGAGCGCUCACACCAACCCACACGAGAGUGAGCACACGGAUUCUCCUGCACACACACACCUUGUUCUUUCAAGCUCUCAGCUAGGGCAGCCGGAGGGCACCGCUCAGCCAGCCUGCACUCCCUGGCCCUUCCUCGCCUCCACAUGUGCACCACUCAGUCUCUCUGGCUGGCAGGAAGCCCCCAGCACACUCCCUGCCCCUCCCAGUAUCUGUGAGGUCAGGGGCCUUCCUAGGCUGCCAAUUUAGCCUCCAGCCAGGCACACUGGGGACAGGUGGGACCUCCUGGAGCUGCCUGGGGGGCCUGGUGAUGCCAGCCUACGGCAGUCAUACUGCCCACACUGCCAAGAGCCCACAUGGGCAAGGGCCAAAGACCUCCAGCCCACCAGCACCACCCCCUACUCCACCCCAACUUCAGGGCGUGCCUCCAUUUUUCCAGCUGUCAAGAAAGCCCUUACCAAGAGGCCCAGGCUCUGUGGGCUCCAGCUCUGCAUUUCCUGGUUCUGGUGUGGAGACAGAGCAUGAUGAGGAGCAACGAUGUGUCUGCCUGGUUCAUCGCUGAAUCCCCAGGGCCUAGCCCAGCACUUGGCACGUGGUAGGGACUCAACACAUCGCUGCUGAAUGAAUGAAUGUUGGCCCUGCUAGGA